rnacentral:lncRNA from 1 species
CUUUCUUGUUUUUUUUCAUAUACUUGUUGGAAAAUUGAAUAUACUUUUGCUCAACUUGUACGUAAAAUCAGCCUAGUGGCUUUUCUGUUCCAUUCUCUGACAGAAAUAUUGCUCAUGCAUUGUGGGGACUUGACUGAGGUCCCCACAAUGUACCAGGUCCCCACAAUGUAUGACUAGAACUUGUACAGGUCCCCACAAUGUGGGAUGCACAAGUACACACACACACACAUACACACACACACACAUACACAC